rnacentral:rRNA from 1 species
GACGGGGCCGCACAAGCGGUGGAGCAUGUGGUUUAAUUCGAAGCAACGCGAAGAACCUUACCAGGUCUUGACAUCCCCUGACAACCGAGAGAUCGGGCGUUCCCCUUCGGGGGACAGGGUGACAGGUGGUGCAUGGUUGUCGUCAGCUCGUGUCGUGAGAUGUUGGGUUAAGUCCCGCAACGAGCGCAACCCUCGACCUUAGUUGCCAGCAUUCAGUUGGGCACUCUAAGGUGACUGCCGGCUAAAAGUCGGAGGAAGGUGGGGAUGACGUCAAAUCAUCAUGCCCCUUAUGACCUGGGCUACACACGUGCUACAAUGGGCGGUACAAAGGGUCGCGAACCCGCGAGGGGGAGCCAAUCCCAAAAAGCCGCUCUCAGUUCGGAUUGCAGGCUGCAACUCGCCUGCAUGAAGCCGGAAUCGCUAGUAAUCGCGGAUCAGCACGCCGCGGUGAAUACGUUCCCGGGCCUU